GGAUGUAUUCAGUCCAGUGAUUGGUCCGCUGUCUCAUGUUUAAAAUGACCCCGCGGCCCACCGAGCAUUACAACAAGAUUUUCUUAAUGUAUUGUUUUGAAGGAUCUCAACGAGAUUAAGUCAAAGUUACUGCCAUUAAAAUGUUGGAGAGCUGCUUGGCUGGGAAGCCCGAUAGAGAGGGCCCUCUCCGGGUAGACGAUAUCCGCAAAGAUUUAUUCCAGGACUACUCCUCACCAACCCAGCAUCAAUCAAAUAUUAAGCAGCUGAAGGUGAACGUCCAGAAGGAGAACCUUCAGGUCUAUCUAAGGAUCAGACCAGUCACCUCAAGGGAAAGCAUCCAGGACGUGCCAAAGGACUGUGUGACCCUGGAGGGGGUGGACACGGUGGUGUUGAAGGCUCCUUCGUACUGUCAGUCUAGUUGGCACAGCGACAAGAACCUCCCACAAACCUUACAGAAGUUCAACUUCACCAAGGUGCUGGGUCCACACAGCAGCCAGCGACAGGUGUUCGAGGGGACGGUGAGCCCGCUGGUCCGAGGGGUUCUGGAGGGACGAGACGCUGUCGUCUUCACCUACGGCGUCACCAACGCCGGAAAGACCUUCACCUUCCUGGGUCCGGAGCAUGAUGCGGGCAUCCUUCCCAGGUCUCUGUCGGUCAUCUUCAGGUCCCUAGAGGGCCGUCUCUCUGCUGACUGCAGCCUGAAACCUCAACGCUGUAAAGACGUCACCAAGCUAACCCGCCUGCAGCAAACCAACGAAGCCACACUUAAGAACCAGCUGCUGAAGCUGCUCAAACAGAGCGACAGUCAGAAGCCCAACUUGUCUCACAGUUCAACCUGUUCUUCAGAAGGGGACUCCAUGGUAAGCAGUGCUAGCACUAGUUCUGAUACUAUUGCUAACAGCAGUGCUAACAUCAGUGCUAACAGCAGUGCCGCAGAGUCUGAUAGUUUCCAGCUCACCGCCGACUCUACAACAGAGUUCUCAGUCUGGGUUUCAUUCUGUGAGAUCUACCGGGAAAAUAUCCAUGACUUACUGGAAACACAGGAGCCUCGAACCCAGAAGAGAAAUCUUCUACGUCUGGCUCAGGAUGUCAAGGGAAACUCCUUCAUCAAAGACCUACGCUGGGUUCAGGUCCAAAGUGCAGAAGAGGCUUACAGAAUCAUGAAGAUCGGCAAGAAGAACCAAAGCCUGUUCGCUACGAAACUGAACCAGCUGUCGAGCCGCAGCCACAGUAUGUUCUCCAUCAGGAUCUUGCGUUUGGAGAAGACAGGACUCAUGAGAGUGAAGUCUGUGAGCGAGCUGUGUCUCUGUGACCUGGCCGGAUCCGAGCGUUGCACUCGCACCCAGAGCCAGGGUGAGCGUCUCAAAGAGGCGGGAAACAUCAACACCUCCCUGCUCACACUGGGCAAGUGUCUGAACGCCAUGAGGCUGAACCAGCACCACAGGGUUCCUCAGCACGUUCCCUUCAGGGAGUCCAAGCUCACCCACUUCCUGCAGGGCUUCCUGUGCGGCCGUGGGGCCGUGUGCAUGAUCGUCAACAUCAGCCAGUGUCCGUCCGCCUACGACGAGACGCUCAACGUCCUCAAGUUCUCCGCCCUGGCCCAGAAGGUGGUGGUGCUGACCUCGCGUCCCGUCCUGCCCCCUGUGGCCCCCAAGAGGACAGCCAGGGAGCUGUCCAUGAUCAUCAACCAGGCUGUUUGUCCCAGCAAACGGGGACGGCAGAGCUCCAUGGUUGCCUGGGAGACGACCCUAGAGGAUGUGGUGGAGGAAGAUGAUGAUGAGGAUGACGAUACUGAAGAGGACGAGGACGAGGACGAGGAGUGUAUGGAUGAGGAGACUGUGCUCGAAGCAGGCCCCGAGGAGGGCGGCUGGCGGGCGGCGCUCGAGCUGCAGAUCAGAGAGGAGGUCAGCGCUGAGUUCAUGGAGCUCUUUGAACGCAUGGAGAAGGACUACAGUGAACGCUUGGUGAGAGAGAGGGAGAUUCUGGAGGAGAGAGCAGAGAACAGAAUGGAAAUCAUGAAGACCCUCGUCAGCAAGACUUCCUGUUUGUCUGCCACUAACGAGGAGGAGGGUAGAGAGGAGCUGGAGCAGGUGGUCACCAUGAUAACAGCGGACCUCCUGAAGAUCAAGAGAGAUGCAGAGGAGGCACACACCUGUCUCACUGACGACACAGAGCGGGAGACGCUGCGAUUGGACCAGCAGAGAUCACAUGAUGAGCUGGAGACGCUGCGAUUGGAGCAGCAGAGAUCACAUGAUGAGCUGGAGACGCUGCGAUUGGAGCAGCAGAGUUCACACGAUCAGCUGAAGGCGACUCAGGAGAGGCUGUCAGAUCUGAUGGAGGCAUGUCAACAGAAAGAUGACAUCAUCGGCAAGCUGCAGGUCUCCAUGGAGACGGCCGACACACAGCUCACCAGGUUACAGCUCCUGAUCAGGGAGAAGACUGACGCUGAAGCUAGCCUAUCGACGCUAUUCGAAGACGCAAAGAGCCGCCUCCAAAUCCUGGAUCUCCAAUUGGAGGAGAAGAGCCAGAGAGUCGACCUUCUCACCCAGGAAGCGGAUGUCUUGCGACAGGAAACGGCUCGGAGGCGUGAAGAGAAAGAGGAGGGUGCUUCUGUCUUCCACGCGGCUGUGGAGGAGAUGAGGAGGGAGGGCCAGGACGCUGUCGAGAGGUCGGCCCAGAAGAGGCAGCACAUCGCCCAGCUACAGGAGGAGAUGGACCAGCUCAGAGACUCGCUGACCAGCAGUCAGAAGGAGUGUGUCCAGCUCAGGGACGACCUAGCCAAUCAGAGAGAGGAGUCCCUCGAUCUGCGUCAAACCUGGCAGACGGACAAAAGGCUCCUGCAGCAGCAAGCAGAGGGCCUCGCGGUGCAGCUGAAGGCCUCUGAGGAGAGCUGCGCGAAGGGGACCAUCGCGGAAGAGCGACUCGCUGAAAGUGAGAGCCAGUGCGCAGCUCUGCAACAGAGACUAAGGGAGAAGGACCUCGCAGAUGAGGAGAGGAAAGCGCAAGAUGAGGGAGAGAAAGAAGAGUUGCGGCUGGCUCUCUCGCCUCUUCAGGAAAGGCUAACGAAAAGCCCGACGGAAACAAGCAGUUCAGAGACAAACACUCACACGAGCGAGGAGGAGGAGGAGGAGAGAGGAGUGGAGGAGGUGAGAGGGGGAGUGGAGGAGGUGGUGAGCAGAGAGGAGGAGGAGGAGGUGGUGAGGAGAGAGGAAGAGGAGGAGGUGGGGGAGGGGAGGGGAGGAGAGGAGAGGAAGGCCACUGUGGUUGAGGAGUUGAAGGAAGAACUGCAGCGUUUCCACCAGAGGAAGGAGGACGACAGGAGGAGGGCCGAGUUUGAGGCGGUGAAGAGGGAGAUGGAGAGGCUGCAGAGGAGCGAGAAGGAGCAGAAGCAUCCCAACACCAGAACCUGUCGCAAGAGGAAGAGUGAGGCUCACCCCAGCACCAGGAACCUACGCAGGAGGAGAGUCCAGGAGCCGCAGGAAAAUGACACGAAGAGAAAAGGAGUGAAGGCGUCAGAUGGAACGCUCCAGAGGAUCCUGAACUCCCCCUCCAUCCUGAGCUCCACAGGUAGUGUGUGUGUGUGUGUGUGUGUGUGUGUGUGUGUGUGUGUGUGUGUGUGUGUGUGUGUGUGUGAGAGAUUGAUCUUUGACCUCUGCCCUGAGCAGCGAAGAGCAUCCUGAACCUGGUGGUCAAUCGCUCGGGAGAGAAAGAGGCGGUUGCCGUGGAAACAAGGCAAAAACGAGGACGGAAAAGACUGUUCAAGAAAGACAUCUCCUCUCCCUUGCUCACCCUCACGCCACAAACGACUAUGGAAGGAUCGGCAUAAAAAGAACGCAGCGACACGAAGAGACUGCUGUGACACUACAGGCGGGCCGUCACUGAUUCUUUCAUAUCAUUAUUGUUAUAUAAAUUGUUUAGACAAAAACAUAUUUUUUCUUUUGUAUUGUUUUACCUUGUUUACUAAAAUAAAACGUUGAAUGCCUAA